rnacentral:rRNA from 1 species
GAUGAACGCCGGCGGCGUGCCUAAUACAUGCAAGUCGAGCGAACUGUUGAGAGCUUGCUCCCAAAAGUUAGCGGCGGACGGGUGAGUAACACGUGGGUAACCUGCCUGUAAGACUGGGAUAACUUCGGGAAACAGGAGCUAUAACCGGAUAACAUUUAAUAACACAUGGCCUUCAAUUAAAAAGUGGCUUUUAGCUACCACUUAUAGAUGGACCCGCGGCGCAUUAGCUAGUUGGUGAGGUAACGGCUCACCAAGGCGACGAUGCGUAGCCGACCUGAGAGGGUGGUCGGCCAAACCUGGACUGGGACCCGGCCCAGACUCCUACGGGAGGGAGCAGUAGGGAAUCUUCCGCAAUAGACGAAAGUCUGACCGAGCAACGCCGGGUGGGGGAAGAAGGCCCUCGGGUCGUAAAGCUCUGGUGAUAGGGGAGAAAAAUAAGCGUACGAAUAGGUGGGUACCUUGACGGUACCUAACCAGAAAGCCACGGCUAACUACGUG